CGGGGCAUAGCGCAGUCUGGUAGCGCAUCUGCUUUGGGAGCAGAGGGUCGCAGGUUCGAAUCCUGCCGCUCCGACCA
rnacentral:tRNA from 1 species